GGCCGCGGCGCCGCCCCCUCCCCGCGGCCCUCCCGGCCACCGCGGCGUGCCCCGCGGCCCUCCCCGCCACCGGAGUCCGCCCCUGCGCCCGCCCCUCCACCGAGCCAGGCCGCGGCGCCGCCCCUCCACGCUCGGCUCGGCGCUCGCCCCUCCACGCUCGGCUCGGCGCACGCAGUCACACACUAGCAGACAGCGGCAGUGGAAAGAGAGGAGUGAGAAGCAGAAGAAGAACAAGAACAGGAGAGAAGACCCGGAUGAGAGAGAGAGAGGAAAGACGAGAGGGAAAGGUAAUAUGACCUCCUUCAAGUUGAUCCAUAAAGUACAUAUUUAAAAGGAAGGGAUAUUGUACAGCAGAAUAGCUUCUGAAAUCUGAACUACUAUAGAAGUGUACAGUUUUGACAGAGCGCUUGCUUCUAGCCAAUGCACUAGUGUACGUAUCACUGAAUAUACAAUACUCAUCAUUUAUGUAAUAACCAGCUUUGGAAAGAAUGUACAUACCUGAGAAAGAAUCGAUGACUUUUCUAGUUUCAACAAAUUAACAUUAUUCUGAA